rnacentral:rRNA from 1 species
CAGUCGCCGCGGGAAUACGAAGGGUGCAAGCGUUACUCGGAAUUACUGGGCGUAAAGCGUGUGUAGGUGGUUGUUUAAGUCUGUCGUGAAAGCCCUGGGCUCAACCUGGGAAUUGCGAUGGAUGCUGGGCGACUAGAGUGCGGUAGAGGAUAGUGGAAUUUCCGGUGUAGCAGUGAAAUGCGUAGAGAUCGGAAGGAACAUCUGUGGCGAAGGCGACUAUCUGGGCCAACACUUACACUGAGACACGAAAGCGUGGGGAGCAAACAGGAUUAGAUACCCCCGUAGUCCCUGUCUCUUAUAC